rnacentral:rRNA from 1 species
GACGAGCCUCACGAACGUUAUUCGGAAUUACUGGGCUUAAAGGGUGCGUAGGCGGCGCGGAAAGUAGGGUGUGAAAUCCCUCGGCUCAACCGAGGAACUGCGCUCUAAACUACCGUGCUCGAGGGAGAUAGAGGUAAGCGGAACUUAGGGUGGAGCGGUGAAAUGCGUUGAUAUCGGGAGGAACACCGGUGGCGAAGGCGGCAUCCUGGACCGGUAUUGACGCUGAGGCGCGAAAGCUAGGGGAGCAAACGGG